rnacentral:rRNA from 1 species
UGCCGCGUGUGUGAAGAAGGCCUUCGGGUUGUAAAGCACUUUCAGUCGUGAGGAAGGUGGURKWGUUAAUAGCWSYAUYACUUGACGUUAGCGACAGAAGAAGCACCGGCUAACUCCGUGCCAGCAGCCGCGGUAAUACGGAGGGUGCGAGCGUUAAUCGGAAUUACUGGGCGUAAAGCGCAUGCAGGUGGUUUGUUAAGUCAGAUGUGAAAGCCCGGGGCUCAACCUCGGAAUAGCAUUUGAAACUGGCAGACUAGAGUACUGUAGAGGGGGGUAGAAUUUCAGGUGUAGCGGUGAAAUGCGUAGAGAUCUGAAGGAAUACCGGUGGCGAAGGCGGCCCCCUGGACAGAUACUGACACUCAGAUGCGAAAGCGUGGGGAGCAAACAGGAUUAGAUACCCUGGUAGUCCACGCCGUAAACGAUGUCUACUUGGAGGUUGUGGCCUUGAGCCGUGGCUUUYGGAGCUAACGCGUUAAGUAGACCGCCUGGGGAGUACGGUCGCAAGAUUAAAACUCAAAUGAAUUGACGGGGGCCCGCACAAGCGGUGGAGCAUGUGGUWWWAUUGSGAUGCAACGCGAAGAACCUUACCUACUCUUGACAUCCAGAGAACU